rnacentral:SRP_RNA from 5 species
AGCCAGGCCCUAUGCUAAGGUCCGCGCCCAAAUCCGCCAGAUCCGGAAGGAAGCAACGGUAAGCGAUGUGACUUUGUGCCAUAGCAAGCCUGGCUACA